UACGGAGGGUGCAAGCGUUGUCCGGAAUCACUGGGCGUAAAGGGCGCGUAGGCGGCCCGGUAAGUAGGGGGUGAAAUCCUGCGGCUUAACCGCAGGGCUGCCUUCUAAACUGCCAGGCUCGAGCACAGCAGAGGCAGGUGGAAUUCCCGGUGUAGCGGUGGAAUGCGUAGAGAUCGGGAAGAACAUCGGUGGCGAAGGCGGCCUGCUGGGCUGUUGCUGACGCUGAGGCGCGACAGCGUGGGGAGCAAACAGG
rnacentral:rRNA from 1 species